rnacentral:tRNA from 1 species
GCCCUAGUAGCUUAGACCUAAAAGCGCCGGUCUUGUAAUCCGGAGAUCGGAGGUUAAAAUCCUCCCUAGUGCC